rnacentral:rRNA from 1 species
UACGAAGGGGGGUAGCGUUGUUCGGAAUCACUGGGCGUAAAGCGCACGUAGGCGGCGCGUUAAGUCAGGGGUGAAAUCCUGGAGCUCAACUCCAGAACUGCCCUUGAUACUGGCGUGCUCGAGUGUGGGAGAGGUUGGUGGAACUCCGAGUGUAGAGGUGAAAUUCGUAGAUAUUCGGAAGAACACCAGUGGCGAAGGCGGCCAACUGGCCCAUUACUGACGCUGAGGUGCGAAAGCGUGGGGAGCAAACAGG